CUACAAAUGAAUUGAGGGACCCGCACAAGCAGCGGAGCGUGUGGUUUAAUUCGUUGCUACACGAAGAACCUUACCUGGGUUUGACAUAUAGGUUGUAGGGAACUGAAAAGGGACCGACCCUUCGGGGAGCCUAUACAGGUGUUGCAUGGCUGUCGUCAGCUCGUGUCGUGAGAUGUUCGGUUAAGUCCGCUAACGAGCGCAACCCUCGUCGUAUGUUAUAUGUGUCAUACGAGACUGCCGGUAAAAGCCGGAGGAAGGUGAGGAUGAUGUCAAGUCAGCAUGACCUUUAUAUCCAGGGCUACACACACGCUACAAUGGUCUGUACAAUGGGUAGCCAAGCCGCGAGGCGGAGCCAAUCCUGAAAGCAGGCCUCAGUUCAGAUUGCAGUCUGCAACUCGACUGCAUGAAGCCGGAGUUGCUAGUAACCGCAGGUCAGCAAUACUGCGGUGAAUACGUUCCCGGGUCUU
rnacentral:rRNA from 1 species